GCUACAGACGUGGCAGAUGUGUCGUUAGUAAGUAGGGGGCAAGAAUGAAUAGGAAUUACUGGUCGUAAAGCGUGGGCAGGCGGUUAUAUAAGACAGAUGUGAAAUCCCCGGGAUCAACCUGGGAACUGCAUGUGUGACUGUAUAGUGAGAGUACGGCAGAGGGGGAUGGAAUUCCGCGUGUAGCAGUGAAAUGCGUAGAUAUGCGGAGGAACACCGAUGGCGAAGGCAAUCCCCUGGGCCUGUACUGACGCUCAUGCACGAAAGCGUGGGGAGCAAACAGGAUUAGAUACCCUAGUAGUC
rnacentral:rRNA from 1 species